rnacentral:tRNA from 1 species
CGGGAGAUGGCAGAGCGGUUGAAUGCACUGGUCUUGAAAACCAGCGAGGGUAACACCUCCGGGAGUUCGAAUCUCCCUCUCCCGGCCA